UACAGAGGGGGCAAGCGUUGUUCGGAAUUACUGGGCGUAAAGGGCGCGUAGGCGGCCUUCUAAGUCGAACGUGAAAUCCCCGGGCUCAACCCGGGAACUGCGUCCGAUACUGGAAGGCUUGAAUCCGGGAGAGGGAUGCGGAAUUCCAGGUGUAGCGGUGAAAUGCGUAGAUAUCUGGAGGAACACCGGUGGCGAAGGCGGCAUCCUGGACCGGUAUUGACGCGUGAGGCGCGAAAGCCAGGGGAGCAAAGCGGGAU
rnacentral:rRNA from 1 species